GACGAACGCUGGCGGCGUGCUUAACACAUGCAAGUCGAGCGGUAAGGCCCUUUCGGGGGUACACGAGCGGCGAACGGGUGAGUAACACGUGGGUGACCUGCCCUCAGCUCUGGGAUAAGCCUGGGAAACCGGGUCUAAUACCGGAUAUGACUCCAUGACGCAUGUUGUGGGGUGAAAGCCUUGUGCGGCUGAGGAUGGGCCCGCGGCCUAUCAGCUUGUUGGUGGGGUGAUGGCCUACCAAGGCGACGACGGGUAGCCGGCCUGAGAGGGCGACCGGCCACACUGGGACUGAGACACGGCCCAGACUCCUACGGGAGGCAGCAGUGGGAAUCUUGCGCAAUGGGCGAAAGCCUGACGCAGCGACGCCGCGUGAGGGAUGACGGCCU
rnacentral:rRNA from 1 species